AUCGAAACACCACUUCCCACAUGAUCACUAAAGUUAAGCAAUGUCGAGCUUGGUCAGUACCUAGAUAGGUGACCACUUGGGAAUGUUAGGUGCUGUAAG